AUCAGAUGCCCUGGGGCUAGAAUUAGAGCUGACUCUGUUGGAUGCUGGAAACAGAACCUGGGCCCCUGCGAGAGCAGCGUGUGCUCUUACCCGCUGGUCCAUCCCUCCAGCUCUACUGUCCCUGGGUGGCCGCUGGUUCGAAAGCACCAUUCAAGGCGGCUCUCUCCUACUCCUCUUACUGGAAUGUCUCGCGGCUCUGCCUCAGUGACUCCACACAGGGUUUUCUUUCUUCCUCUCUGCCCAGGUUUGAACCAUCUUGACUUCCCCACUCUGUCUGACCCCCCCUCAGCACAGUGAACCGAGACACCGCUCUCAUUUCAACUUGGGGGGAGGGGGGCUCUCCCCACCUGCGCUUCCAGCUCUGACUUCUUCUGGUGGUUUCGAGAAGCUCCUCCCUCCGUGGAUGUCCUCCGGGUAGUCACAUUAGACUCACAGAACCCAAAAUCAGGCGAACUACGCUCUCCAGGUUAACUGGAAUUUUUGUGUGUUGGCACUCGCUGUGGCUCCCCUCCCCACACCUGUACCUAGUGGCGGUACACUCCCAUGCUCGUCAGCUCAGCUUUGCCCUGGAGUCUGCCCACCAGCCACCCUGCUCCCUUCUCUAACUUAGAGGCGAGCAAACAUCUCUUUUGGUUCUGGAUGUUUGAAACAGGGUCUCACUCUAGAGCCCAGGCCGGCCUUGAACUUGUGAUCCUCCUGCCUCAGCUUCCUGAACUAUUGUUACAGGGAUCGGAGGGAUAGUCCCAGCCUUGCUGUUUGCUUGCCCAGCCCUCCGGCCCCACUAAGCCACACCCAACCCCUUGUCAAGUUUUCGGGAACCACAGAACUACCUGCAGGGCUCCUUUAAGCCCCCAAGUUCUGUCCCCAGUCCAUAGAAGAGAGGGACCUGAUGAGCAGGCCCGUCCUCAGAGACUGGUAACAGUCUUCACACCAGCACCCUGAAAUUCCCACUCCUAACAAGUUCCCGGCGGCCGGGAGAACUCUGACACCCACAUACUAACUCCAGGCUCCCCGCUUCCUUCCCGGCCUGCAGAGAAACAGCACAGAGUCAGACCACCACUCUGCCUGUCCACCCGGACGGCCAGUGGCACCUUAAAUCUCCCACACCCACAGUUCCCUCUAACGGAAGGCCCUGCCCGUGUGCCAGCCUCACAACAACUUGGAUCUCUCCCUUCCUGGAGAGGACCAGCCCUAAACCAGCAGCUCCAGGCCGACUGUCGCAGUUGGUGUCUCCAGGCUUUCCUUUACAGGCCCUGGCGACAAGGACAGCGGCCGAUCGUAAAUUGGACGCGGUGUGUUCCUGCUGCGUUGUGGCAGCCUCUGUGACUAGCUACCACUGUCGCCCUACACUAAUUAGGGUUCCUGCUUGAAGCAAGGGUCUGGGAGAGCUUCCCAGAGAACAACUGAGUGCCAGGGAGCCUUUUGAACACAGUUACCGGUGAUGUCAGAGAAACAAGCUGGUGCUCUUUUUUCGGUUUUGCUCUUUGUUUUUGAGGCAAGAUACCUAGCCCAGGCUGGCCUCCCUGAAUUUCACGGUCCCCCUGUGCCCCCACCACCUCCCUCUCUGCUGCUAGAAGCACAGAGAAGGACCUAAUGAGGGAGGAGAGGGGACUCCACCCAUUUGGUAAAGAGUUGAAAUUGAUGCGAUUCACUGGGGGGAAAUAUAAACACAGAGCACACCAGACCCUUUUAACAGGAGGCGUGGGGGUGGGGGGAGGGCAGGCAGACUAGAGGCGUCACCCAGGGCCAAGCCAGAAGACAUGCGGGCUCCCCGAGACAUGUUUGUUGGAGAAGUUUUGGAAGAUCAUUCAAAGGAGGCCGUGCUGUGCCCGCAGCAGCCCAUUCAAGAACUGGCUUGCACAGACAGGCAAAGCCCAGGCAGGCGCCCUGGCCUGGGGCCUGGGGCGGCCCGGCCGUGCAGGAGGCCGGGCUCGGGUGAGCCGCACUGCCACCAGCCGCCGGCAGGUGUCGCUUUCCGGGGCCCGGAAUCCACCGUGAGUUCAGCAAAUGGAGGCGCGAGGAGGAGGCUGGGACGCGGGCAGAGAAGCGGAUUUCCUGGCCCGGGAACAUCCUGGCUCUUGUUUCGGGGCGGUGGGGGUUGGGGGGGGGAGCAGUGUUUCUGGUUUUGUUUUUAAAUCAGAGACUUACAGGUCAUUUACUGGGUGUCAGGCCCUGCAGGAGUGAUUGAGUGUUCACGCGGGGACUCAGGUCCUGUCCCGGUCACCCUGACCUCAAAAGCAAGGAGGAUUUUUUUUUUAAGGCAGCCACAUGAUUUCUGAUGCCCAGUGCUUGAACACUCAAGUUUGGGGGGGAAAAAAACCCAGCUCUCGAGCCAAGCAAGGACUUUGUCUCUAGUUAUAAGGAUCUCUCAGCUUCCUGCUGUGGUCACCUGCCAAGCUUCCCCCACCAUUAUGGAUUCUCCUUCUGGAACCAUGAGCCUAAAUACGCUCUUUGUUUCAUACCCCUGGACAAUUGUCAGCCAACCAGGGUCCUGG